CUGGCUUAAGCAAACCUCGAUGGUUCCACCGCUAUAAAAUUACGUUUCACAUCUAUAAACUUACGUUGAUGGCCCACCCCUACCUCUAUCUCUCUCAACUGGAUCGACACCGCUGUCUCAAAAAAAAGCUGGAUCGACAUUGUUUCUCUCUCCCUAGUCCAUCCUCGGAUUGCGGCGGCGGCGGCGGCGAUUGUGCCGGAGGGACUACCCGGAAGCGAGGGCUACUCCCCACCCUGGCGCGUGGAGUACUCCCCCAUUCCCUCUCUCAUGCGACCAGGAGGCGAAGUGGACAGCGCAAAGUUCCGACGCGAGGUCUGCGGCGACAACGGCCUUCUCCUGCGUCCCUUCCCACCUCCGUCGGCUUCUAGCCGGAGCGGGGCAAAGGAAGAGGAAGAAGGCCAAGAAAGGAUCCCGGGUUGCCCUAAGAAGCUGCUCCUCGGGUUGCCGCCGUACAAUGAGGAGGCAGUGGACAGGAAGGGUGGAGCUCCUCGUUGAUCUCAAGAGCAAAAUUUGGGGUUCGGCCCGAACAAGAGCCCUCAUUCUGUCCGAUAAAAAAACGCCCUUAUUCUUUACGCGGUUCAUCCUCACUUCAUUUGGUCUUUUAUUGAAACUGCGAACAUAUUGUGCUUGCUUCGUCAGUUACAAAAUUUUUAGGGCAAAAUAAGCUGAUUGGCAGUCUGUUGCUUGUGUGAAAGGGUGCCUUUUUCAAAAAAUAUUACGAAGGAAUUGAUGGCAAAGUAUAUUUGCGUUGA